AUUGAACGCUGGCGGCAGGCCUAACACAUGCAAGUCGAGUGGAUGAAGGGAGCUUGCUCCUGGAUUCAGCGGCGGACGGGUGAGUAAUGCCUAGGAAUCUGCCUGGUAGUGGGGGAUAACGUCCGGAAACGGGCGCUAAUACCGCAUACGUCCUGAGGGAGAAAGUGGGGGAUCUUCGGACCUCACGCUAUCAGAUGAGCCUAGGUCGGAUUAGCUAGUUGGUGGGGUAAAGGCCUACCAAGGCGACGAUCCGUAACUGGUCUGAGAGGAUGAUCAGUCACACUGGAACUGAGACACGGUCCAGACUCCUACGGGAGGCAGCAGUGGGGAAUAUUGGACAAUGGGCGAAGGCCUGAUCCAGCCAUGCUGCGUGUGUGAAGAAGGUCUUCGGAUUGUAAAGCACUUUAAGUUGGGAGGAAGGGCAGUAAGUUAAUACCUUGCUGUUUUGACGUUACCAACAGAAUAAGCACCGGCUAACUUCGUG
rnacentral:rRNA from 1 species